AUUGAACGCUGGCGGCAGGCCUAACACAUGCAAGUCGAGCGGAACGGCGGGCGGGUGAGUAAUGCCUGGGUAUCUGCCUGUUAGUGGGGGAUAACGACCGGAACGGGGCGCUAAUACCGCAUCCUAUCCAAUGAGCCUAGGCCGGAUUAGCUAGUUGGUGGGGUAGGGGCUUACCAAGGCGACGAUCCGUCACUGGGCUGAGAGGAGGAGCAGUCACACUGGAACUGAGACACGGUCCAGACUCCUACGGGAGGCAGCAGUGGGGAAUAUUGGACAAUGGGCGAAAGCCUGAUCCAGCCAUGCCGCGUGGGUGAAGAAGGCCUUCGGAUUGUAAAGCACUUUAAGUGGGGAGGCGUUACCAACAGAAUAAGCACCGGCUAACUUCGUGCCAGCAGCCGCGGUAAUAC
rnacentral:rRNA from 1 species